AUGGCUUCUCUUCUCACCAACGGAAUCUCACACUUCUGUCCUCAAUCCAUCGCUGAGCAGCCUAAACUCCCAAAAGGGUAUAACUUUUUGCCUAAUUCACCCGGCCCCAAAAUCUCAAAUCCAGGUAAUUUCAAGAUUAAAGCUGCUGAUGCGAAGGCCACUGUUGAAGUUCCAGGUAAAGAAUCAUCUUUAUCAAUCUCAAAUGAAGGCGACCCACUUCAGAAAUUCUUGAAAAGAGACUAUAAAUGGGGUUUUAAUCAAGAAAUUGAUUCCUUUUCAUUACCAAAAGGGCUUUCAGCCGAAACUGUUAAGCUUAUUUCUGGUAGAAAAAAU
rnacentral:misc_RNA from 1 species